UUUGUUCCUUCCUCCUUCAGAUAGAAAGAAGGCAGUGCGAAAGAUAACUUGCAGUUCAGAGAUAAAAGUCCAUUUGGCUCCAACAACAGAAAUACUAAAAGGGGCCGCCAAACAAAAUAGAUCUUGAGGAGUGAAGCAGUGGAUUAUCAGUAUUUAAAGCUGCGUUGGAUUCCAGGAGCAGCUGAAACACGAACGCACUGAUCGAUUAGUCAUCAUGCACUGGAACAUGUACGCCGCCGUUUCAUCGCAACGGAGCGGAAGCUGUGUGGUACCUGGUGUGCGUUGCUGAGCUUUGGUCGCGAAACUGUUGAUGCAGAAGAAGGUGAUGAAGAGGGCGAGGACGAGCAGGCACCUCAGGACAAAGAUGAGCACUUCCUCCGGGGGGGAACCUGAAAUUCACCCACAGAGGCAACAAGCUGAGACGUCGUAUACAACAGGGCGUCCAAACCUUUUUGGGGAGGGGCAGCUGUGACAUACCUCCUGCUGUGUUGUCCUCUGUCUCGUCUCUGGCAGUGACGAUGAUGACAAUACCAUUUCCUACAACUAUAGCUAAAUAUGAGACAUCAUGGGACUGGGUAACAGCGGGUGUGCCUGGAGAUGAAACACCUGCGAGGAGACGACAAGGUGAUGCAUCAUACAACACCAAACACAUGGCAUCGUUUCAAAAGCCAAACCAGCUUGAUGAACAGUUUUUGGCACUUUUCACCAAAAUCUGGAGAAGCGCUAAAACGGAUCACAAAACAACCGAAUAAAGCAAUGAUUUCACAACAACCAUAACAAAUAGUGGU